UACGUAGGGUGCAAGCGUUGUCCGGAAUUAUUGGGCGUAAAGAGCUCGUAGGCGGUUUGUCGCGUCUGCUGUGAAAACUCGGGGCUUAACCCCGGGCCUGCAGUGGGUACGGGCAGACUAGAGUGCGGUAGGGGAGACUGGAAUUCCUGGUGUAGCGGUGAAAUGCGCAGAUAUCAGGAGGAACACCGGUGGCGAAGGCGGGUCUCUGGGCCAUAACUGACGCUGAGGAGCGAAAGCGUGGGGAGCGAACAGG
rnacentral:rRNA from 1 species